UACGUAGGGGGCAAGCGUUGUCCGGAUUUAUUGGGCGUAAAGAGCGUGUAGGCGGCCAGACAGGUCAGCUGUGAAAACUCGAGGCUCAACCUCGAGACGUCGGUUGAAACCGUCUGGCUAGAGUCCGGAAGAGGAGAGUGGAAUUCCCGGUGUAGCGGUGAAAUGCGCAGAUAUCGGGAAGAACACCCGUGGCGAAGGCGGCUCUCUGGGACGGUACUGACGCUGAGACGCGAAAGCGUGGGGAGCCGAACAGG
rnacentral:rRNA from 1 species